AAAAAGGUUUUCUUUAAAACCACUGUCAAAAGCAACGUAAUUUUUG
rfam:Fukomys damarensis contig115334, whole genome shotgun sequence.